rnacentral:lncRNA from 1 species
UUGGAUAGUUAAAAUUUGAUUUUAACUCGGGUUUUGGUAAUUUCGGGAUUUGUGCUCGAUAUUGAUUGUUUUCGCUUGAGCUUGGUUCCCAUAGCAUAUUGUGAUUUAUUCAUUCUGAUUUUGGAUAGAUUCGACGCACGUGGAGGCCAUUUGAGGGGCAAGGCAUCACGAGCUAGGGAUUUUGCCGGUUCGAGGUAAGUAAUGAUUGUAAAUACUGCCCUAUGGGAUUGAAUUCCCGAAUUACACAUCGUUGUGUUACUUUGAGGUGACUUAUACGUUAGAUGACGAGCAUGGGGUAGAUUACUGCUGGGGAUUAUGACCUAGUCCAUCCCGAACGAUUAUUUGAAUGUGUAUUUGACAGUUAAUUGUUUGAUGUUAUUAUAUUUUGGGUUGUAUGCCAUGUUUGGGGCCUCGUGCCGACUUGUUAAGAACCUUUGGGGAAUUUUUACUAUAUUUCCUCACUCUAUUUUGUUUGAAAGCAUAUCCUCAAUCAUAACGUGGAUAACAUAACAUUGAAUGAAUUCUGAUACUAUUUGAAGAAUAUAUUGUUUAGUCCUAAAUCAAUUUUAAAAGAUAGAUGAGGUUGAAUAAAGGCUACGAUUUAUUUUCAUAACAUAGUAAAACUAGUAGCGCUCCUGAUCC